rnacentral:rRNA from 1 species
GGGGGGGCGGCUACCAUGCAGUCGAACGGUAACAGGAAGAAGCUUGCUUCUUUGCUGACGAGUGGCGGACGGGUGAGUAAUGUCUGGGAAACUGCCUGAUGGAGGGGGAUAACUACUGGAAACGGUAGCUAAUACCGCAUAACGUCGCAAGACCAAAGAGGGGGACCUUCGGGCCUCUUGCCAUCGGAUGUGCCCAGAUGGGAUUAGCUAGUAGGUGGGGUAACGGCUCACCUAGGCGACGAUCCCUAGCUGGUCUGAGAGGAUGACCAGCCACACUGGAACUGAGACACGGUCCAGACUCCUACGGGAGGCAGCAGUGGGGAAUAUUGCACAAUGGGCGCAAGCCUGAUGCAGCCAUGCCGCGUGUAUGAAGAAGGCCUUCGGGUUGUAAAGUACUUUCAGCGGGGAGGAAGGGAGUAAAGUUAAUACCUUUGCUCAUUGACGUUACCCGCAGAAGAAGCACCGGCUAACUCCGUGCCAGCAGCCGCGGUAAUACGGAGGGUGCAAGCGUUAAUCGGAAUUACUGGGCGUAAAGCGCACGCAGGCGGUUUGUUAAGUCAGAUGUGAAAUCCCCGGGCUCAACCUGGGAACUGCAUCUGA